rnacentral:rRNA from 1 species
UACCAGCACCCCGAGUGGUCGGGACGUUUAUUGGGCCUAAAGCAUCCGUAGCCGGUUCUACAAGUCUUCCGUUAAAUCCACCUGCUUAACAGAUGGGCUGCGGAAGAUACUAUAGAGCUAGGAGGCGGGAGAGGCAAGCGGUAGCUCGAUGGUAGGGUAAAAUCCGUUGAUCCAUUGAAGACCACCAGUGGCGAAGGCGGCUUGCCAGAACGCGCUCGACGGUGAGGGAUGAAAGC